rnacentral:rRNA from 1 species
AGCUUGCUCUUCUUGGAUGAGUUGCGAACGGGUGAGUAACGCGUAGGUAACCUGCCUUGUAGCGGGGGAUAACUAUUGGAAACGAUAGCUAAUACCGCAUAACAAUGGAUGACCCAUGUCAUUUAUUUGAAAGGGGCAAAUGCUCCACUACAAGAUGGACCUGCGUUGUAUUAGCUAGUAGGUGAGGUAACGGCUCACCUAGGCGACGAUACAUAGCCGACCUGAGAGGGUGAUCGGCCACACUGGGACUGAGACACGGCCCAGACUCCUACGGGAGGCAGCAGUAGGGAAUCUUCGGCAAUGGGGGCAACCCUGACCGAGCAACGCCGCGUGAGUGAAGAAGGUUUUCGGAUCGUAAAGCUCUGUUGUAAGUCAAGAACGAGUGUGAGAGUGGAAAGUUCACACUGUGACGGUAGCUUACCAGAAAGGGACGGCUAACUACGUGCCAGCAGCCGCGGUAAUACGUAGGUCCCGAGCGUUGUCCGGAUUUAUUGGGCGUAAAGCGAGCGCAGGCGGUUUGAUAAGUCUGAAGUUAAAGGCUGUGGCUCAACCAUAGUUCGCUUUGGAAACUGUCAAACUUGAGUGCAGAAGGGGAGAGUGGAAUUCCAUGUGUAGCGGUGAAAUGCGUAGAUAUAUGGAGGAACACCGGUGGCG